rnacentral:rRNA from 1 species
AUUGAACGCUGGCGGCAGGCCUAACACAUGCAAGUCGAGCGGAUGAAGGGAGCUUGCUCCUGGAUUCAGCGGCGGACGGGUGAGUAAUGCCUAGGAAUCUGCCUGGUAGUGGGGGAUAACGUCCGGAAACGGGCGCUAAUACCGCAUACGUCCUGAGGGAGAAAGUGGGGGAUCUUCGGACCUCACGCUAUCAGAUGAGCCUAGGUCGGAUUAGCUAGUUGGUGGGGUAAAGGCCUACCAAGGCGACGAUCCGUAACUGGUCUGAGAGGAUGAUCAGUCACACUAGAACUGAGACACGGUCCAGACGCCUACGGGAGGCAGCAGUGGGGAAUAUUGGACAAUGGGCGAAAGACUGAUCCAGCCAUGCCGCGUGUGUGAAGAAGGUCUUCGGAUUGUAAAGCACUUUAAGUUGGGAGGAAGGGCAGUAGGUUAAUACCUUGAUGUUUUGACGUUACCAACAGAAUAAGCACCGGCUAACUUCGUG